AUUGAACGCUGGCGGCAGGCCUAACACAUGCAAGUCGAACGGUAACAGGAAGCAGCUUGCUGCUUUGCUGACGAGUGGCGGCCGGGUGAGUCAUGUCUGGGAAACUGCCUGAUGGAGGGGGAUAACUACUGGAAACGGUAGCUAAUACCGCAUAACGUCGCAAGACCAAAGAGGGGGACCUUCGGGCCUCUUGCCAUCGGAUGUGCCCAGAUGGGAUUCGCUAGUAGGUGGGGUAACGGCUCACCUAGGCGACGAUCCCUAGCUGGUCUGAGAGGAUGACCAGCCACACUGGAACUGAGACACGGUCCAGACUCCUACGGGAGGCAGCAGUGGGGAAUAUUGCACAAUGGGCGCAAGCCUGAUGCAGCCAUGCCGCGUGUAUGAAGAAGGCCUUCGGGUUGUAAAGUACUUUCAGCGGGGAGGAAGGGAGUAAAGUUAAUACCUUUGCUGAUUGACGUUACCCGCAGAAGAAGCACCGGCUAACUCCGUG
rnacentral:rRNA from 1 species